rnacentral:lncRNA from 1 species
CCAGGGAGGGCCUGUAUCCCCCACCCACUCCCCGGCCUUGGCUGUAGUCUUCCCGGCAUCUUUGAGGAAUCCUUUCUUUUCCUCUUAGACUUCAAAAGCAAUGCUCCCUAUUCACCCCUUACAACCUGCCCUCCUUUAGUAUGGCGCCAACACCAAAUUGGCUGGGAAAGGAAGUGCCUGGAAGGAAAGCAGAGAAAAACCUCAACACUUGCUCCAAGUAGUACAAGGACUGGACAGAGGAAAGAAAGAGAAAGCGAAGGCCCUGUUUUAGAAAAGGAACACUCUAUAUCCCUAAAGCAGAGAGGAGACAGAAGAGCCAUAAAAUAGGAUAUAGAACCUGAUCUCCAGGUUCAGUGGGAGGUGGACAGUGACUGCAUGAUGAACAAUUGCUAUCACAUGCCUAGACUGAUGAAUGAGUACACAUCUCUGAAUACCGAAAAAACAGCGACAAGGCCGGAAGUCAUUGAUUUCUCUCUCUCAGUACACAUCAUAGCUCCUGUCUCUGAGAUUCCUUUACUGGCUUCUCUGUGCAGAUGAGGCACUAGGUUUUUGUUGAUAAUCAAAGGAGUAGCCAGACCUUGAUUUUAUUUCCCCCAAGUAUAUUUCAACCCUUAAAUUCACCAAUGUGAACAGAAAUCCUUUUGUAAAAGUUGCCUUUCAGGUAAAUAUCACAUUUCUUGUCUUGUUUAACAGAGAAGAAUUUGAAUUUCAGUUGUUAAGUGGCAUAUAGUUCUUUUUUUAAUCCACCCUGAUGAAUUUUGCCUUUUAAUUGUAAUGUUUAAGCUGUUUACCUAUAAUGUAAUAAUUGAUAUAUCUGGGCUUAAACCUACUAUUUUACUAUUUGCUUUCUACAUACUGUGCUUGUUCUAUGUUGCUUUUUUAUUUUUCUCUUACUUUUGGAUUGCUUAAUGAUUUUUUUCAAUUCCAUUUUCCUUAUUACCUUAAUUAUACAUUCUAUUACUAUGCAUGGAGUGAUUAUACAUGUAAAUGAUCUAUUUGACUAUGUAAUGCUGUCUAUGUAAUGCUCCUAAAUAAAUAUUAGAUCC